rfam:Triticum urartu cultivar G1812 contig428374, whole genome shotgun sequence.
CUUGUACUCCCUCCGUCUGAAAAUACUUGUCAUUGAAAUGGAUGUAUCUAGAUGUAUUUUAGUUCUAGACACAUCCAUUUUGAUGACAAGUAAUUCCGGACGGAGGGAGUACUUG